rnacentral:lncRNA from 1 species
CUAGCUGCUGUCAGCAGCAGCAGCAGGAGCAGCAGCAUGCGCAGCAGCAGCAGCAGCAACAGCAGCAAUAACAGCAGCAGCAGCUCAGCUAGCAGCAGUGCAGCUCAGCAGCAGCAGCUCAGCUGCAGGGGCAGCAAGAAAGAAAGAAAGCAAGAAAGAAGGAAAGAAAGAAAGAAAGCAAGAAGGAGAAAAGAAAGAAAGAAAGAGAGAAAGAAAGAAAAAGAUGGAAAAUAAGUUAAGGUUUCUAAAGAAACGGGUUUAAUGGAAAACUAACCUCGAUAAUGCACUUUU